GAGGGUAUAGUUCAGUGGUAAAGCAUGUGCUUAGCAUGCAUGAGGUCCUAGGUUCAUCCCCAGUACCUCCA
rnacentral:tRNA from 1 species